rnacentral:rRNA from 1 species
AUUGAACGCUGGCGGCAGUCCUAACACAUGCAAGUCGAACGAGUGGCGGACGGGUGAGUAAUGUCUGGGAAACUGCCUGAUGGAGGGGGAUAACUACUGGAAACGGUAGCUAAUACCGCAUACCAUCGGAUGUGCCCAGAUGGGAUUAGCUAGUAGGUGGGGUCACGGCGCACCUAGGCGACGAUCCCUAGCUGGUCUGAGAGGAUGACAAGCCACACUGGAAAUGAGACAAGGUCCAGAGUCAUACGGGAGGAAGCAGUGGGGAAUAGUGCAGAAUGGGCGCAAGCCUGAUGCAGCCAUGCCGCGUGUAUGAAGAAGGCCUUCGGGUUGUAAAGUACGUUCAGCGGGGAGGCGUUACCCGCAGAAGAAGCACCGGCUAACUACGUGCCAGCAGCCGCGGUAAUAC